rnacentral:pre_miRNA from 1 species
ACCGGAGGGGUGGGGUCCCUUGGCCUGGCCUGCACCCUUUCAUAAUCCAGGUCCCUUCAGGGGAUGUCAAAGAGCUGCAGGCCAGACUGAGGGACCCCACCAGUGCAUG